rnacentral:rRNA from 1 species
GACGAACGCUGGCGGCGUGCCUAAUACAUGCAAGUUGAGCGAUGAAGAUUGGUGCUUGCACCAAUUUGAAGAGCAGCGAACGGGUGAGUAACGCGUGGGGAAUCUGCCUUUGAGCGGGGGACAACAUUUGGAAACGAAUGCUAAUACCGCAUAAUAACUUUAAACAUAAGUUUUAAGUUUGAAAGAUGCAAUUGCAUCACUCAAAGAUGAUCCCGCGUUGUAUUAGCUAGUUGGUGAGGUAAGGGCUCACCAAGGCGAUGAUACAUAGCCGACCUGAGAGGGCGAUCGGCCACAUUGGGACUGAGACACGGCCCAAACUCCUACGGGAGGCAGCAGUAGGGAAUCUUCGGCAAUGGACGAAAGUCUGACCGAGCAACGCCGCGUGAGUGAAGAAGGUUUUCGGAUCGUAAAACUCUGUUGGUAGAGAAGAACGUUGGUGAGAGUGGAAAGCUCAUCAAGUGACGGUAACUACCCAGAAAGGGACGGCUAACUACGUG